UACAGAGACUGCAAGCGUUAUUCGGAUUCACUGGGCGUAAAGGGUGCGCAGGCGGCCAAGUGUGUGAGGCGUGAAAGCCUGGAGCUUAACUCCAGAAUUGCACCUCAAACUACAUGGCUAGAGCAUUGGAGAGGGACGUGGAAUUCCGGGUGUAGUGGUGAAAUGCGUAGAGAUCCGGAGGAACCCCAGAGGCGAAGGCGGCGUCCUGGCUCACAACUGACGCUCAGACACGACAGCAUGGGGAGCGAACGGG
rnacentral:rRNA from 1 species